CCUGGCAGUAAACGGUGCACGCUUGGUGUGCGGGGAAUCGACCCCCUGCGUGCCGGAGCUAACGCGUUAAGCGUGCCGCCUGGGGAGUACGGUCGCAAGAUUAAAACUCAAAGAAAUUGACGGGGACCCGCACAAGCGGUGGAGUAUGUGGCUUAAUUCGAUGCAACGCGAAGAACCUUACCUGGGCUUGACAUGUAAUGAACAACAUGUGAAAGCAUGCGACUCUUCGGAGGCGUUACACAGGUGCUGCAUGGCCGUCGUCAGCUCGUGUCGUGAGAUGUUUGGUUAAGUCCAGCAACGAGCGCAACCCCUGUUGCCAGUUACCAGCACGUGAAGGUGGGGACUCUGGCGAGACUGCCCAGAUCAACUGGGAGGAAGGUGGGGACGACGUCAGGUCAGUAUGGCCCUUAUGCCCAGGGCUGCACACGUACUACAAUGCCCAGUACAGAGGGGGCCGAAGCCGCGAGGCGGAGGAAAUCCUAAAAACUGGGCCCAGUUCGGACUGUAGGCUGCAACCCGCCUACACGAAGCCGGAAUCGCUAGUAAUGGCGCAUCAGCUACGGCGCCGUGAAUACGUUCCCGGGUCUUGUACACACCGCCCGUCACAUCAUGGAAGCCGGUCGCACCCGAAGUAUCUGAAGCCAACCGCAAGGAGGCAGGGUCCUAAGGUGAGACUGGUAACUGGGAUGAAGUCGUAACAAGGUAGCCGUAGGGGAACCUGCGGCUG
rnacentral:rRNA from 1 species